rnacentral:rRNA from 1 species
UACGUAGGCAGCGAGCGUUGUUCGGAGUUACUGGGCGUAAAGGGUGUGUAGGCGGUUGUUUAAGUUUGGUGUGAAAUCUCCCGGCUCAACCGGGAGGGUGCGCCGAAUACUGAAUGACUUGGAGUGCGGGAGAGGAAAGUGGAAUUCCCGGUGUAGUGGUGAAAUGCGUAGAUAUCGGGAGGAACACCAGUGGCGAAGGCGACUACCUGGCCUGUUCUUGACGCUGAGGCGCGAAAGCUAGGGGAGCAAACGGG